GAGAACAUUUUCUCCGCGUGCUCCAUCCCAUCCUGUGCCUGAUUCUCCAGCGCCGGGAUAACUGGAGGAGUGUUGUUUUCAGAAAAUAGCAGGGGUCCCACUCUGUUGCCCACGCUGGAGUGCACUGGCCUGAUCACAGCUCCCUGCAGCCUCAACCUCCCGGGCUCAAGUGAUCCUCCCACUCCACCCUCCUGAGUAGUGGGACUACAGAAUCCCAAGACAGAAAGAAGAGCUGCUCUGUUUGAAGAACAAUUGGGAGCCCCAGGACCUGCCGCUGUGCCCACCUCUUGUUUUCCCACCCACAGAUAUGGUCCCUGAAGUAUCCCAUGGAAGGAGAGGUUCUGUUAGGUGACUGGGUGUGCACAAUGAGGACUCUGAAGAACACCAGGUCAGAAGACUGAUCCCACUUCUGAGCCUUACAGAAUCUGGAGGUAGAAGAGAUAAGGUGUCAGAAUUACUUUACAACAUCCCAGGAAAAUGUUCUUCUAACUCCUGCCUGAAAGCUUCAGUGAUGGGAGGCUCACGGCUUGUGCAGCCACCUGCCCUUCUGAUGAUUGUCUCUCGUUGUUCAAGGCCACACAUUUCCUCUUGUCCUUCAGGCUUUCAGAGUCCACUUCAUAACCAAUGUCCAGUGACGUCACUCCUCUUGGCCUCACUGUCUUCACUGAUCACGUGGUGAGAGGAGCACUGGGUUAAUUAGCAUGUGUGAAAAACCCUGAACGCCAUCAGACCCCCAGCUCAUUCUCGUUAGUGUCAAUCAGGUUGCUGCUAUGGUUGUUGCUAUUAGGAUAAUUGUCACGGCCACUCUUUCACCUUCUGCCUGGCUCCUUUGGCACCGCUUGGCUUCAUUAGACCACUUGCUGGUUCUCAGACACACCAUGCACCCACACAGCACCCCGGUCCUACAGUGGCUCCUCUACAGAAUGCCCAGGGCACCCUCCUUCCCAGCAUUCCUGACCUCACCAUGUUCCCUCUCUCCUGAAAACCUUGACUCACCCUCUGGAGCUCAGCUACAACCCAAGUUGCCCAGGACACCCCUAACCUCAUGUGGGAAUCUGAUGCCUGGGGCUCAGGGGCAGCCUCUGCUACUAGCAACUCUCUGAUAUUGAAAAAUGUACUCACCUUCCCUAAGCCUCCAUGUCCUUAUUCUUAAAACAGAGAUAAUGCGUUUAUUGCAGGUUGUUGUAAAUAUGAAAUGAAAUGAGAUAUUUAAGUUGUGUGUUGGGUAACACAUCAGCCAUUCCCUCUUUCAAACACAUUUUUCUACCUGAUCCUCACAGCAGCCUGGAAGGCAGGGAUCUUUGCAGGUGAAAACACUCAGCUUUGGGAGUGGCUGAUGCAGGGCUACCCAGUUCCUAAGUGCUUCAUUCAAACUUGAACCUAGGACUUUGGAAUUUACAUCUUUUGUGUUAGCCACUGAAAAUUUGCAAAAUUAUUGCUGGUGGAUCGAGUAGGGUCUCAAAAAAUUCUCAAAUCAAUUAGAUCAAACAGAAUUCUGUGAUAUUCUGAUUUUUAAUUUUUAUUUAUUUACUUGCAUUUAUGUUGGGUUUUGAUUGCAAGAUUCUCUGGAGAAAUCAACUAAAAUUUUAUUAUGAAGUGAUAUGGUUUGGCUCUGUGUCCCCACCCAAAUCUCAUCCGGAAUUGUAAUCCCCACAUGUCAAGGGAGGGGCCUGGUGGGAGGUGAUUGAAUCGUGUGGGCAGUUGGCUCCAUGCUGUUCUCGUAGUGAGGAAGUUCCCACGUGAUCUGAUGGUUUUCAUGAGUUCUCAUGAGAUCUGAUGGUUUUAAAGUGGCAGUUUCCCCUGCUCACUCCCUCUCUUUCCUGCUGCCACGUAAGACAUACCUUGCUCCCUCUUCUGCCGUGAUGGUAAGUUUUCCGAGGUCUCCCCAGCCAAGUGGAGCUGUGAAUCAAUGAAACCUCUUUAGUUUAGAAAUUACCCAGUC
ensembl:lncRNA